GGAAGACAAAGAAGAUUAAAGAGAAAAAUGCAAGAAAACAAAAGAACUGACAAUGUGAAUGAAAGGAGAGAGAAAUAAAAUAAAAAUAUCAAAUGGAAUAUGUCUAAGGCUUCCAGGUCUGAAUGGAAUGUGAACUGGUGAACCUCCAGGCAACGAUCCGUUAUUUUACCAAGGUCCAGUGAAGCAGAUUUUCUUUGGGGAAUGAAGAGAAUUGCUGAAUUCCGCCUACGGUUGCCUGUAGAGAAUCACACCUACCCACAAGGCUGUCUCUGUUAUGCAAAAAGAAAAACAAAGAACUGUCAAUAUUCUGGAUGCAACAGAAACCUGACUUGCCAGCUGGAUCAUUGGCAAAGGAGUCAGAAUAAGUGGGUAAUGCAACUACACACACGGAGACAAUUUUGAUGAAGGUAUGAGUUUGCUUCUUAUCCCUUGUCUACUGAAAAUCCUCACACCGUGGAGUGGAGAAAGUUUUCAAUAAAAGGUUGGGGGAAGGACUUGCUUCUCUAAUC
rnacentral:lncRNA from 1 species